rnacentral:rRNA from 1 species
CGCGUAGGCGGUUUACACAGUCAGAUGUGAAAUUCCAGGGCUUAACCUUGGGGCUGCAUUUGAUACGUGUAGACUAGAGUGUGAGAGAGGGUUGUGGAAUUCCCAGUGUAGAGGUGAAAUUCGUAGAUAUUGGGAAGAACACCGGUGGCGAAGGCGGCCCCCUGGACGAAGACUGACGCUCAGGUGCGAAAGCGUGGGGAGCAAACAGGAUUAGAUACCCCCGUA